AUUUAAAUAGUUUAAAUAAAAUAUUGAUUUGUGAUAUCAAUGAUAAGAAUUAAUUCUUUUUAAAUC
rnacentral:tRNA from 1 species